rnacentral:rRNA from 1 species
AGGUCAAAUCAUCAUGCCCCUUAUGUCCUGGGCUACACACGUACUACAAUGGCUAUAACAGAGGGAAGCAAUGGAGCAAUCCGGAGCCAAACCCCAAAAAUAGUCUCAGUUCGGAUUGUGGGCUGAAACCCGCCCGCAUGAAGUCGGAAUUGCUAGUAAUGGCAGGUCAGCAUACUGCCGUGAAUACGUUCCCGGGCCUU